rnacentral:lncRNA from 1 species
GCGGAAAUUUCAUUUGCUAAUUUUAAAUUUUGAAAAUUGCUGUUAUCAAAGAAUUGUUAUUCCUGUGUUUAAAAUGUUUGUGUUAUGCAUGCUUCUUAUUAGCCAAAAGUGAUAAUACCAUUCAGUUCAGUCAUCAAUAUGAAAACAGAUUACUAACCCUAUGUUGCUACUGUAUUUUUGUCUAGUUGGUAUGCCUGCCCAGAAGUCCUAAAAACCUCAAAAAAAAUUUUUUGUUGAAAUUUUAUUGCUAAAUAGUAAUGAUACUUUAAAGCAAUUUUCUUACAGAUAAGUAUUUACUCCCAUUAGGAUAAUUUCUCUCAACUUCUGAUUGAUUUUCUUAAGUGCAUUUCAGAAAGCAUGAAUAUAUGGUUAUUAGUAAUUUGCACACUGUAACAGUAAGUUUUCAGAGGAAAUAGUCUGUUUUAACACCUUUCAGGUGUGGUAUCCUAUUUUUUAAUAUUAAAAUUUUGUAUAUAUGCCAAGAAAUUAAAAAUUGUCCUGAAAAUG